GGACUUUCUACAGUCAUCUCAGGUGUAUGCUAGACAUGAAAGUCCUAGAAAGUUCUAGAAACAUCCCAGUCUGUGGAAAGCAGCACCACCUCAUCGUGGCUGAAUUUAGAACGACAGCAUUGAUCAAUUCUCUUAGCACUGUAUGAGCCAGGGUCGACACGCAACAACAGUCUUAUGGAGCCCGUGUGCUGCUGCCCUCUAGUGGUUCUUCGGCCUGUGCAGGACCCACCGCUUUUCUACCACCGUGAGGGGGCAGCAAAACUUCCAGGUUGUCAAACGCUGAAAUCCGCUGGGCUGCUGAAACCAGCCAAGUCCAUGGUCCUCCCCUCAAGGCACCGGAGAUCAUCAAGUAGUGCAGGAGUCAUCAGUCCCAACACUGGGAGAGAUGAGAUUUGGUCCUUCAACUAAAAUGCAGGAUCGCACCGCUAGUCCUCUUCAGUGUCAUUCCCUGCUUUCAAAGAUACAAAACCAAGGGGACGAGGACCGAGGACAGAAUGGAUCUGCCAGCAGGAACCCGAAGCCAAACUGUCUUUCUCCCCACUCUUCCGCCCCCCCCCCCCCCCCACGAAAAUGAAGGUUACCGUUGGGAGGGAGGGCAUGUGGCAGUAGUGUCUCUAGUGGACAAAAGGAAAAGAAACAGCAUACUCAAAUAGUUUAAGCAUAUAGAGAUUUAUUAGGGGUUAAAGAUAACUUAAAAUUUGAUGGAAAGGUGAAGGCAGAUUUUCAACUGAACUUCAGGAAUGGCUCUCAGAACCAAACUGCAAAGAACCAAACUGCAAACUAGCUCCCUAAGGGUGAAACUCAGAAAUUUGAAAACACCGAAUCAGGUAAGUAUCACCCCAGCUGCCCUUUUUGAACUCUCGUGCAUGUUGGCUGUUGU
rnacentral:lncRNA from 1 species